rnacentral:rRNA from 1 species
CGGAGGGUGCAAGCGUUAUCCGGAUUCACUGGGUUUAAAGGGUGCGUAGGUGGGUUGGUAAGUCCGUGGUGAAAUCUCCGAGCUUAACUCGGAAACUGCCGUGGAUACUAUCAAUCUUGAAUAUCGUGGAGGUAAGCGGAAUAUGUCAUGUAGCGGUGAAAUGCUUAGAUAUGACAUAGAACACCGAUAGCGGAGGCAGCUUGCUACACGAUCAUUGACACUGAGGCACGAAAGCGUGGGGAGCAAACAGGAUUAGAUACCCUGGUAGUCCACGCCCUAAACGAUGAUUACUCGACAUACGCGAUACACAGUGUGUGUCUGAGCGAAAGCAUUAAGUAAUCCACCUGGGAAGUACGAUCGCAAGAUUG